rnacentral:rRNA from 1 species
AAUUUUUUACAAUGGGGUAAACCCUGAUCCAGCCUUCCCGCGUGUAUGACUAAGGACUCCGGGUUGUAAAGUACUCUUGGCGGAGAAGAAAUGGUAUCUCCUAAUACGAGAUACUGCUGACGGUUUCUGCAGAAUAAGCACCGGCGUCCUACGUGCCAGCAGCCGCGGUAAUCCGUAGGUUGCAAGCGUUAAUCGGAAUUACUGGGCGUAAAGCGUCUGUAGGCGGUUCGGCAAGAAAGAUGUGAAAUCCCAGAGCUCAACCUUGGAACUGCAUUUUUAACUACCGAGGUAGAGUAUGUCAGAGGCGGGUAGAAUUCCACGUAUAGCAGUGAAAUGCGUAGAUAUGUGGAGGAAUACCGAUGGCGAAGGCAGCCCCCUGGGAUAAUACUGACGCUCAGACACGAAAGCGUGGGGAGCAAACA